UACGUAGGGCGCAAGCGUUGUCCGGAAUUAUUGGGCGUAAAGAGCUCGUAGGCGGUCUGUCGCGUCUGCUGUGAAAGCCCGGGGCUCAACCCCGGGUCUGCAGUGGGUACGGGCAGACUAGAGUGCAGUAGGGGAGACUGGAAUUCCUGGUGUAGCGGUGAAAUGCGCAGAUAUCAGGAGGAACACCGAUGGCGAAGGCAGGUCUCUGGGCUGUUACUGACGCUGAGGAGCGAAAGCAUGGGGAGCGAACAGG
rnacentral:rRNA from 1 species